rnacentral:rRNA from 1 species
UAACCGCAAGGAGCCAGCCGUCGAAGGUGGGGGCGAUGAUUGGGGUGAAGUCGUAACAAGGUAGCCGUAUCGGAAGGUGCGGCUGGAUCACCUCCUUUCUAGGGA